rnacentral:rRNA from 1 species
UACGUAGGGUCCGAGCGUUGUCCGGAAUUACUGGGCGUAAAGAGCUCGUAGGUGGUUUGUCGCGUUGUUCGUGAAAACUCACAGCUCAACUGUGGGCGUGCGGGCGAUACGGGCAGACUUGAGUACUGCAGGGGAGACUGGAAUUCCUGGUGUAGCGGUGGAAUGCGCAGAUAUCAGGAGGAACACCGGUGGCGAAGGCGCCACUCUGGGCCGGUACUGACGCUGAGGAGCGAAAGCGUGGGUAGCAAACAGG